UGGGAUAUUUUCUUCUCUCUCCAUCCACGUACACAAAAUGCAGCCUUUUACAUACAUAAACAGGCGCGAUCCUUUUAUUUACCUCCUCCUAAGAAUAAUUAGAUCCCCCUCUCCAUCUCCCUCCCUCUCUCUGUUAUUCUCCAUCUCCAUGUUCUCUCGUCUUCCUGAUUAAGUUGCUUUCUUACCUCGAGGGGCUUAAACUUCCGAGUGUAGUAGUUAGUUUCAAGAUUAUGGACUGGCUUUGAUUUCUAUCGGUAAACGAGCAUUCCUUAUGCACACACAUGUUUCAGUAAUUAUUUUUGUUUUUAUAACUUCUUGGUUUUUUUGUUGUGUGAUGGAUUAUUGUUACCUGACUUUAUAUUGAUCUGUGUAUUGAGGUUCUUAUAUCAAUUUCCUAGCAUAUCUCGCAAUUGUACAUGGUUUGACGUUUUCUAGGUUUUUUUUAAUCACUGUUUUUUCUUUGCUUGACAUGGUCUAGGGUUUAUUUUUUCCUUUGUACAAAGGAAUUGUUACAACAUAGUGGUUCCGGGAGCUCUAUUCAUGUAAGUGUUUAGCGGCGUGUCCUAAUUUGUGGUGUUGGCUCAAGACACAGCGAUGAGAGAGGGGUUUCCUCAGGUUAUGUGAGUGGGUGUAAUUGAGUUUUUGGAUUGAGCUCGGAAAUUACUCAAUGAUUGUGUUGUGUUGUUUUUAUCCCUAACAGUGAAGAAAUUUUUUCUCUAUGUACAGGCUGGCAGGAUUUUACCAAUUCAAUUAAAUCUUGUGCUCGCACUCAUAUUGCUGUCUUCAUUUUCUUCAUUUUUCUAUUAAUUCGGUUUGCUCAUUAACUUGUUUUGUGCGAUACUGAUUACUUUAACAAGUGGUGGUGGAGACAACCCUUUGGAUUGGAUGCAAUCGAAACUAGUGCUUGCUUGAUUUAGUUUGAGAUUCAAUACAUGGUUAAGAAAUUUAAUUGAAGAAAAUGAAGAUGACAGAAAACAAGUAGAAGAUGAGGGGAUUUGGCCCUUUCACUUCUUACUUUGAUUUGUGCUUUAUAUUUGACGAUUAAAGGAUAUGAUCACUCGAUAAGGUUUCUAAGCAUAGAAGGUUCAUACGUGAAACAAGUCUUUAAAUCCAUAAAAGAUGCCGGCACUUUGUUCAAGGUUGUUUGAUUAUGCUUGUGUUGCCAUACAAUCCUAGUGGAGGGGGAAAAGAGUUUUGUUGUCUGGUAUACCUAGAGGAGUGGAGGAGAAUAAAGCCUGUGCUAAUGGUUACUUAGAGUUUUUUAUGGUCGGAGACUGCCUGAGUAGAGUGACAUAUUCUCGAUGAGUUGACGGAAACUUCUGUCAAGAGAUGGUAAAUAGAGGUUAUGGUAUUGUUCAAGAAAUUUGUUUUCAAGAUAGGUUAUAAAUCGGAAAGCAGGUUACAAUCAUGUAGGUCAUGUUAUAUGUCAUCAUGCUUGCAUGUUAUGUUCUUAAAUCAAAAGAAAAUAGUCAUCAUCAAAUCUUGAAAUUCAAAUAAAUGGGCUUGUGUUUUGCAAGAUAAAAUUUAUAUGGUUCUAUUAACUGUUAGUAAAGAACCACUGUGGAUCAUGUUCAUUUACAUUGCAUGAAACUUGUUCCGGUCUUGCUACUAGCUUCCCUUUAUUGGUUUUGAAAUAACAAGAUAUGCUUUUAUUCAGGAGACGUGGAUUGAUUUUGGUACUUGUAACUACUUUCUGGCAGUAACACUACACAGUUCUCUGAAAAGUAUGGUAAGUAAAUUAAAUUAAAUUAAAUGUAAUAAAUCUUGCUCGUAUGUCUCUAAAACAAAGUAAUUCUUUAUAAAUUAAUUUGAGAAUACAUGGUUUGGUGACUCACUCAAUCCAUUAUGUAGUUUAACUGAUGGAACUAAGAACCUUUUUUGCCACUGGCAUUAUGACACGUCACUUCCUAAUCAGCCAGUCUCUAUAUUAUGGUAUUAGUUCUGGUAGGGGGCACAUUAACUGUUGCCUUUUGCUUACAUGGGUCUCGUGGUCCUGAUUUCAGAGAGCCAUCUUACUCAAGGGCCAUUGCUUAUGCAACGGUAAAGUUAUUGGCUUGGGUUGCAGAGAUGCUGUUUUGAAUUUUGUACAAAGUAACUUUAUGGAAAAUGUGUAUGGGUAAGGUUACCUCCAGAUUAAAACUAACUGAGCCCAUAAAAGGUUAGAUUUUGUUGCUGCUUGUUGACAUACUCAAGCUUAUGAAUCAAUGCCUAAAUUGAAGUUAAUUGAGGCCCAAAAUCACUUAGACCCAAGUUAACAAACUAAAAGAAGUUCGCCUCCAUCAUGUGUUGCCAAGUGCCUCACAUGAGGGAUCUCUAGGUAUUAAAAUUCUGUAGAAGUAAUUCCAUUUUUAUUUUUCAUGGUUGUGUUAUUAUGUCUGCGAAAGUAAGACCAAGUUAAAAUCAUAAAAUCUUUAACAGCAUGGAGGCUCAAAGAGAAAUUUUGGUCACACUCGCGCACACAUGAAUCUGAAAAAAAAUUAUCUUUUUAUUCUUUACAGCACAUCUUUUUAUUAUGAGUGGAGGUACAAAUAUAUUGAUUACUGCAAAGGCAACUCAGUGGAUGCUGGAAACACAGAUAAGUGGAUUUUUUUGUAUAAUUUUUUUAUUUUUAUGAAUGUCUUUAGUUUUAAUCUGAAAAUCGAUAUCAAAACAAUACAAGUUCCAUGAAAAUUGUCUCACUAUCCAUUCCCAUCUCCUUUAUUUAAUGUAGUGUAGACACAUGUGAGUGAAACAUAGGUUUGGUAAAGCAUGAAUAUUGGAAGAUGCAUCAGCAUGCACGCUUGCUGACAGUGGUUGUACUUGCCAGUCUUCUGAUUUUUCCACUAAUGAACAUCUAAAUGUCCUUUACAGUUGUGUUGCUCUGGUUUUAAUCACUUGCUUCUGUCACUAUCAAUUCCCAAUUGUUUGUUUUCUCAUGUUGUGAAGUUUGAUGGUAUACUUAAACAUUUGGAAUUUCACUUUUGAAAUGGAGAAUUUAUUGUUGGCUUCCCAUUAUAUAUUGAUGAGCCAUUUCAGAGAGGCAAUUUUUAGUCUGUGUUAGGAAUUACCUGAGACUUGGAAAUGGCAAGUUACACCGCUCAGAAGCUGCUAUACACGAAAAUUAUCCAUUUGUUAUUUUAGGAAAAAAGUUUAACUAAAACCCUAAAUGAAAAAAGAAAGCAGUUAAAACUAAUGUUGCUUUGGGUAACAGCACAACAAUGGCGCUGGAAAAUCUUUGAACAAGGCCAAAGGUAUUGGAUAUUAUCCACUGCUUUUACCGAGGAGUCCUGUCUGCUUAGAGCUCGUCAGCCGAGUUCUAUGCUAGACCUGGCAAAGGGAAAUGAGGAUUGGGAGUGCAUUCUACACCGACCGGGUGUAUAUAUUCUGUCAAGGUUCCUUUUUGGUGGUAAAAGAUUAAGUUUGGAGCUGAAGGGGAGCUCAAGGUUUUCUUGAUAGAUUAGAUUACCCUGUAAUGAAGCCAAUGAAAGCCAGUGAACAUGAGAAUGUCUUCACAAUCAAUUCGGGAAUUAUUGAAGUCAAUAGUCUUGGAAAACCUUUCGGUUCAGAUUCUGUAGAUCCUUGGCGCUCAAACCAGACAGUUCUUCUCCCAUUAAUUGCCUGCAAUUUCAGAGAUGCAAGUAUUAGGCGUGGUGCCGGAGUCUUAUACUUGUCCAUGAAUAUAGUCCUGAAAAAAAAAAAAAACUGUCCACAAAUACUUAAAAAGUCUGGUAGCUUCUCCUUUCUGGCGGAUGUGGCUGCAAAUGUAAUCAAUGAUAUGAAACAUUUAGAGAUAUUUUUGCCAGUAAGGUCACACGGCAGUAAAUUUUUUGAUCAGACAAACCUACACAUCAUCAUUUCAAUUCCAGGGGUGACGUGUUGUUGAGAUCAUCUAUUGAGAAUUUUGGGUGAUUAUUAACUUUA